GGUAAAGGAAAGCAACACACUCCCGGCUGAAUUACCCCGAAAUGGUAAAGUCAAUUGCAAGCAACAGAAAAUUUAGGUUUUGCCAUAAAACAAAAACUUCUACAAUUCAACACAAUGGAGCCGAAAUUUCAAUUAUACAGAUAGUUUCACUUCUUUUUUUGUUUUUGGGAAAAAAAAAAGUUGCACUAAUUCUGAAACACUAAUGGCUCUUUUGCUACUGUAGAAGUAAAUUUUCAGCUUCAUACUUCUGUACGGCACAAAAGAAGGCAGAGGUGAAUAAUCAAACCUUGCAGUCGAGAGAAAGCCAAGCAGCACAGGAUGAUCCAGGAGUUCUCAAAAGUUACAAGUAAAGCUUCUGCAAUCGUUCAGCCCUUACCCUGCGAGAGAGAAAGGUAUGCAGUUAAACAUCGUUGGUUUCAGAGAAAACACGGUUGAUAAACUUGGAUAAACUCCAAGGUCACCGAUCGAUGAAUUAACUUACAGAUUUCCCCAUAACAAGUAAUUCGCAUCGCCAAUUACUUUAGGCUUCCAUUCAGUACUAUUUGACCUACUGUAAGUAUCCAAGGAUGCCAGGUAAGAUACUUCUUACAUUUGAUUCAUCAAAGCCUCGAAACUAUUGACUAACUCUCCACGAAACAUUAAAAACUUAGGGAAUGAUAACCACACACCCUUAUUCUUCCCCUACAUUCCCCCUUCUAAUUAUGUCCAUUGUUUCUGUUUAAUUAAUUCAAUCCGUAGGCCAGAAACAAAAAGAGGCAUGUAGGAAGAUAAAAAUGGUAUAGCAAUUCCCAAAACUUAUAGCAGUUUUUCCCCUAUUGCUUUUUGGAAGUAAUUCCUAUUUCUAAAUUUCUGUACCUUGUGAGGAGGAGUUCCUGGUCUUAACAUGUUGUUUAUCCCAAGCUUCCCCUUCUUCUCAGAGGCUUUCAAAAUCUGGAAGGAACAUGUCAAUGUAUCAUCUACACUCAUCAUGGCACCAGCAUUAUCAAACUCCCCACAGUAAUUUGGAGCUGAAAAUAUGGUUACCAGCUUCCUUUUUCCAAAAAACUCAUAUCCAUCUUCCACAACCUGAUAAAUGAAACCCAAGAAAUUUAAUAAGAAACGGACAAACAUUGAGAGACUCUACUAAUAAAAUUCAGUUUGCAUCUCAGACCAGGCAAAACAUGUUCACAACUAAUCAUAUAAAGAAUUUCACUCCAGCAUCAAUUGAAAGAGAGUAUCCAAUCAAUUAAAUGAGUACGUGACGGAACAGGUGAAAUACAAGAAGUCCUCCUGUGAAUAAAUUUUUCAAUUGUGUAGCUAUUUAUUGAAAAGUUUACCUGCGCCCAGAAUCUCAACACGGCACAUGGCAUACUAGCAUUCGAUACCAAUACAUCAUUAGGGUAACAACCCAAUGGACAUGCCACAAUGACAAAGUAGAUGAUGGGUAGUGGAAUGAAUAUGAAAAGGAGUGGAAAUCAACCCAUAAAAACAGAUAAAUCAUGCAAACACACACAGAAUCUCUAAUUAUAACUUACUCCGUGUGCUUUUACAUGUUUACCAAAUUCGAAAGAUGAAAUUUUAAAUAAAGUUACUUCAAAAUUAUCAUCCAUAUUACUGUCAUGACAAGUUUAACUGUACAAUAAAAGUGAUUAUUUGAAGAUGCAUCACAUGAUGCCAAAUAUUUAAGUUCCCAGACUUUGUGUAUGCAUGAGCAUGCAGGUCCAGUUCAGUAUAAAAAACAAAAAACAAAAAGAGAGAAAAUAACUUCAUAGCACCUGAUGAGCGCGGCAAAUAAGAUCUAGGUCAUGUUUCUGGAGAAAUUCAGCAACCUUGUCAGCACCAAAUGUAUAUGACACGCCACGAUCAUUCUCUCCCCAACCUUCAACAUCUUUAUCAGGAUCAGCCCAUAAUAGAUCACAGAGAAGGCCCUGAUCUGGCACAUCCACUGGCCGUGCAAUAUUCCUAAUCUGAUCUAAGUGUUUCAAAUCAGGAGAUAGACCGCCAUGCAUGCAAAGGAUUUUCUCAUCAAUAAGAGCAGCAACAGGAAGACAGUUGAAGCAGUCAGUAAAUGUCUUCCAAAUACGAACAUUAAAUCUUCUCUUGCACUCAUCAUAGAAUCCAUAGAUGCGGUUGAUGGAAGCGCAUUCAUGGUUGCCUCUGAGGAGAAAGAAGUUCUCCUUGUAUUUGAUCUUGUAUGCAAGGAGAAGGCAUAUUGUCUCUAUGCUCUGCUUACCACGAUCAACAUAGUCUCCUAGGAAUAAAUAAUUGGCUUCCGGUGGGUACCCACCAUACUCAAACAGUCGCAAAAGAUCUGAAAACUGACCGUGAACAUCUCCUGUGAAACAAAGAGGGAAGAUGAGCGUUGUCAUCUUAGUAAUCAACAGAAAUUUCACAUGUUUUUAAUUCAGGAAACCAUUAUAAAAAAUUAAAAAAAUUAAAAUAAAAAUAAAAAACCUAACAUACAUCUACAUUAUAGACUCAAUUCAAAAUUGGUCUUUGAUAUUUAUUUAAAACAAGAUCCUUUUACCAUGAUCAACAGAAACGGAUUUGCUUCCAUUUCAUAAAGACAAGAGUGAAGAUGAGAAUGCAAACCAAAUAAGGGUUGGUGGUCAUGAGUAUAAAAUUACUUAACAACUGGAAUUCCUUAACAAGUCACGGCGCUAAAUGGUGGAAAGUGAAAGGAACCUAAUAAACAAAAAAGUGGAGUCCAAAAGCUAUGCCUGCCCUCCGCAUCCAAUAAAUAGAAGCUAUAUGUGCUAUUUUGUGCGCUAUAACAAUUCGAGUGACACGUAACACUACAAGACUGGCAUACUAGAAAAACACAAGAAAAUUUAGCCGACAUUCAAGUUGUAUAUGCCAGUGUAAUAAAUGAGGAUCAAAUAUAACGGCUAAUGCAUGGUAGACAUUUACCCAGGGGGGGCAGAGACAUCAAAUUUUGACUGCUUUCAUGAGUCAAUCUCCACCUCAAAAAAGGGUACUCUCAUUCGUCACAAUGACGAACUUCAAUGGCUAUCCACCAAAUCCAACUUCAGAGAAUGCCUACUUACACAAAGCACACAUGGAACUAGAAACGCAAAAAUUAAUGCCUGUCUAAUCUAAAAGUAGAAAAAAUGCACAAUACAGCCACAUCAUAGACACUAGUCCUGGAUGACCUAAGAACUAUUCUUCAGAGUAAGAAGCCUAUUUAACGCACCAACAGGCAACCACGCCAAAACAAAAGACAAGGGACAAGCUAACGAAUUACUGAAAGGCACAUACGAAACCUUAUACUGCAAUGCUCAAAAGUUUUGUCACAUAACCCUGCCAAAGUCGCAAAAUUUUCUAAUGAAAAGCUACAUUAAAUCCUCUGACCAUCAACUUUACUUCACAAGAAAAAACCAGUAAUAAUCCAAACUGUGCUAAAUCAUACUUUCCACUGUGCAAUAUAUAUAUAUGAAAUUUCACCCAGUAACCCUUUCACUGGUAAUUGCCCCUUCUGCUCUAAUCAAAUGAACCAUAACCCGAAAAACAUAAACUCAUUUUCUUUCCAACAAAUUACACAAACCAGACAUACAAAAUUCCAAUUUCCAACCAUCAAACCCUUUUUAUAUUUGCAAAUUACCCACAUUGCUCUUUCACACAAUCAAGUCCAAAUUCAACACAUAAACAUGCCAACAAAGUCAAAGAAGCAACUUUUCAAUUCAUCCGAAGCGAAAAACCAAAACUUUCAAUCCACAAAUUAAUUAAAAACCCUAGUCCUUUACCACAAAUCUUAAUUGGAGCUUCAAGCUCCAGAAGAUUCGGCUGACUGAGAAAGAUUUCCUUGGAGGCAGAGCAAAGCUGCCUUAUUUCAGCUUCCGUCAGUUGCACCUGUUUGGUGGUCCGGCCAUUCUUCGCAGCCACAAGCUUUCGUAUAAGAUCGUCGACAAUACUCUCGUCCAUCACAGCAAGUCUUCUCUACCCACACACAAAUCGCACCCAGAAAAAAAAAAACCAAUAAAGCAAACGAACCCAGAAUACCAAAACCCUAGCUCUUGGGUGAGGUGAAAAGUGAGAGGAGAUCCGAGAGAGAGAGAAUCAGAAGAACAAGGAAGAGUGUCAAAAUCACAAGGAGAGAUUUUGGGAAAUAAUAUCUAGGGAUUUACAUGUUGGAGAAGAUGUGGUGGAGGUGUGCGUGGCGGCCAAUUUCGGCUGGUAAAAUGACGCAGAGAGGGGAGAGAGAGAGAGAGAGAGAGAGAGAGAGGAGAAUUGAAAAGUGAGUCCGAGUUGGGCUUGGGGGAGGACAUGGCGGGUAUUUUAUUAUUAUUUUACUUUUGCUUAGUUUGGUGGGUUUUUGAAAUUUCAUACAUCUAUUUUUUUUUUCUUUUUUUUUUAUUAAACGAUGUAUUUUGUUGGAUUAAAUUAGAUGUUAGAUUAGUCACUGACUAUGUUCGAACUCACACCGUCAUGCAAGAACUUAAUUGUUUUUCACUACUAUAUAAAGGCCACUAGCCAAUUUUUUUUUUUCAUACCAGUGAUAUUUGAAAAUGAUCUAAAAAUUUUUACCGUUAGAUUCUUAUUCGUUGCAUCCUUAAUUAAAACACCAAAUUUAAUUAUCUGUUUGUACCGUUGCGAGUCAUAAAGAAAUCAAAAUUCAAGAAUGUGGUGUGGUAUGAUAAAUAUUUUUAACCACUUCUAAUGUGAUGCCAUAAAUUAUAUAGAAAGAUUAUUAUCUUUAUGAAUUGUGAUUUGGUUACAAUUAUGAGACUCAAAUUCUUAAUGCCAAGUAUUUUUUGUUUCCUAUAUUUCGAUUUUUCAUCCACUCUAUGUGCAAUUUUUGUAAAUAUUUACACUAUUAAAUAUGUGAAGAAAUAUGUCACAUGGCUGGAAUUAGUAAGACGUUCGAUUUCCGAUUACGUUAUCCUCCUAUUUGAUAGACAUGCUAAUGUAAUUUCCUUUUACAAAAUGAUGCAUGCACAUUGAAUAAUAAUGACUCGUAUUUCAAAUCUUAAAAUUCCAACCAAUGUGACAACAUUUUUUUUUUUUGUUUAUAUUUCGCUUGCUCAAUGAUUGACUUUCCUUUUCCUUUUGCAUAGUUGCCGGGGAACAAUAAUAAAGUUGUAGGCUCAUGAGUUCAUUUUUAUUCUUCAUUAUCUAUUCUAAAGUUUGAGAAGAGUGUGGUUGUAGCUUAACUACAAUCUCAACCCAAUGAGUGAACAUCAUAAAGAAAAUAGAAGUAGAAAAAGAUGAAUAAGAUGAAAAUAGAGUUUUGCCGGAAUGUUGGGUGUCACACCAGAGUGAUAGUUAAGGUGAAUUUUAUUUUUCGUUAUUGUAUAAAUUAGAAACCACGUGACCUCCAAGCAGCACAUUAAAUCACUUGCAGGUGGAAAGCAUCAAUGUAAUUAGAAUUCCCCUCUAGUGCACAAUUUUAAAAACUAAAAACUCUGGGUUCCAAUAGAAUCAAUCAUGCAAGCAAGAUGCAUACAAAUCAAGGAACAAUGUUACAAGUUUCAAAAGCUUGUUACAUAAUGAUUAUGAAGGAAGUUGGAAGCAAAAGUUUAAAACCAAAGGCAUCAAUAGGAGAAAAUGAUGCAUGGAGCCCUCACCUGAAGAUGUUUGCACAAAUGUCCUUUGAUAGGAGUUUUUAUAGGAGGUGGAUUCUCUGCCCUCCUAUUUGUGUGAUUACAGUUAAACCACGCCAACAUUUUAUAUUACUAUUCCUUUUUGUCUUAUUAUCUCUAUAAAAAAAUAAUAUAAAAUGUUGACGUGACUUAACCGUAACCACACAAAACAAGAGGGCAUGGGAGGGCACUGGAAGUGGGAGGGCAGAGAAUAUGCCUUUGUUUUUAUACGUGUAUAACUGUUUUACAGAUAAAAGUAAAAUGUAAUAAUCAGCAUCAUAGCAAUGAAGUUUCAUCAUGGAAGGAUUACCAAACUACACAUUUUUCAUCCAUUUUAACUUUAGAGAAAUGGACAACAAAAAAGUAGAUAAGAUACAAAACACACUUGUGGAUGCAAAUUUUCGUUGUCUUCUCAUUUAAUGAAAAUGCACCUGCAAAAUAAUAACACCUAAGAUUAAGGCCAAAAGCCUCACGCGCCCACGAUGAAUGGAAGGGCUGUGGCCGAAGAAUCUCCAAUGCCGAAGUUAGAAUUCUGAAAAGAAUGUGUUUAGGAGUUUGUGGGUAGCAAAAUGGUUUAACAUUUUAGUGGGAGAAUAGGGCUAUUUAUAGGGGAGUGGCCGGUCCUAUUCUCCAAAUAGGGUCGGCCAUAUAUGGUGAAAUUGUGAGUAUAAUUGGAAGAUAUUAUGUGAAAUAAUAUCUUGCAAUUAACUUGGCAAUUAAUCCUAAAUUAAAUAGGAAAAUUGGGAGUUACCUUUUGAAUAAGGAUUUGAUGAGUAAUGAGAGGAAUUUAAAUAAAUAUCAUUUUGAUCACCUUUGACUGUUCCUUGAUUGAACCAUUAUUGUAUGUUGCAUGCGCGUGGGAAUCCUGGUGUGCCCCGAGAGUAAUUUUGUCCUUUUACCCAAAAACCCACGUGUCACCUCCAUAAUUUUCUUGAUUAUUUUUUGCUCCACAAAUACCCCCACACAUGUUGGGCUGCUCGCAGGAAUGGGCAGCAUGUGUAGAGAUCUUCCCUUGCUUUAAGAAACGUGAGAUUGUUUCCUAUUCUGAUGUAGAUUCACACAUUAAUUGGAAAUUAGAUCCUUCUAGGAAAGGGAACUAAUCACUUCCAAAGUCUAUUUAAGUCUACCUUAAGGAGAUGAUUAAAUCAACUUCAGAGAGAAAUUUAUUAUACCCUACAAGGGAGAGAGCUAGAGGAUAUUUGUUCUCCCUCCCCUAGCAAUCUUCUACACUUGCCCAUGCAAAGCACCAUCUUUCGUUGCUUUCUUUGUCUUCACGCCGCACCAAGGUAAUUUUUCCUUGUCUUCGUAAUUUUUUGGAGCAUCGGGGAUUGAAAUUUGGCUAGACGAGGAUUAAGGAUGUGUGAAAAGAUGACUUGGAAAGGCCACGACAUUGUUGCCAUGGGUGGCAUGAUGUGGCGACAGCUGGUUGGGCUAGGUGACGCUUGGUUUAGGCUGAGCUGAUUUGAGCGAAAUGGGCGUUGGGCUGGGCCUGGCAUGGGCCAGGCAUAUGAGCAGCAGGCUAGGCUUUAGGCCUGGUCUGCUGAGGUGGUGUCAAGGAGGCAUGGGCCUCCUGGUUUGCUGGGCUCAGGCCCGUGUGUAAAGAGAAAAUGUGAGAGGCACGGGGGUGCCAGUCCCCUUUUCCAGCUGAGUUGGGCCAAAAGGCCUUUAGGCCGAGGGAGAAUGGACCAGGUCUUGGGGCCUGGCAUGGCUUCCGGGUUCUUGCAAUCUUGGGUCCAUGGUUGGUUGGUCCUUGGGCCGUAAAGCCUGGUGCGCUUGUUUUUUUAUUUUUUAUUUUUUUGGUGCAACUGUGUAAUUAUUCUUCCUUGUAUCUUUGUAGAAUUCUUUGAGUAUGUCUUCUUCAAGCCACAAGAGUGACAAUGGUGUGUCACCGUUGUAUCGCCAAGGCAGCUCUUUGGGUAAAGUGGGCUACUUCAAGGCUGCUCACUUCAAAAUUAGCUCUAAUGACUCGUUUAGAGAUUUUUAGAGAUUUUCUUGACAAUAUAGAAGCAGCUGGCGUAACUGAUGAAAAACACAACAACAAAAAAUUGAUGGUGUUCCAAUAUUUUAGCGAAAAACACACUCUUUUUUAUAAUGAGAGAUUCAAAAGUUCAAAAUAUAUGGAAUGAGAAAGAUCACAUUAAUAGGCAUCAACGUUUAACCUAUGAUAUCUUCAUAUGAAGCUACUCAGCCUCUCCCAAUAGAAUCAAUUGAAAAUUAGCAGAUAUCUCAUAAAGUUUCUAGCAUUAACAUUUCUAAAAGUAAAUCCUGAUAAUACGUUUCAAAUCAAAUGUCCCAAGAAUACAUAUCUCCAACGUAAAAAUAUGGUAUAACAUUAAUAUAUGGUGUGAUAAUAUUUUUGCAAUUUCUCUAGCUUCUAACCAUUUCUUCCAUGCCCAGACUAAACACGUCGAAAUUGACUAUCAUUACAGUCGUGAAGUUGUCUUUGCUCAACUUAUCAAGAUUCAAGUCAAGAUCAAACAACAAACAUUCAUACAAAGUCUUUGUCCAGGCACAGAUUCUUAUAUCUUCAAUCCAAGCUUUCUCUUGGUCCCUUUGAUGGUUCCAAGUUCAGCUUGAGGGGGUGUAAAGAAGCUAAAGUAUAGUCAUCAAAGUGUUGAUAAAAGUUGGUUAGAGUUUGUUAGAGUCCUUUUGUAAAUUCUUAUUUUAGUUAAGGGUAUUAGUGUAAUCUGCUAGAAAGCCCAAGACUAUAUAUAUAACAAAUGCAAGCCUUUAAGGGAAGGGUCCCAUUUUUCAAAAAAAAUUAAGGACAACCUCUUGACCGUUAGAUUUAACUUUAAUGAAAUUCUGUGGUUGAAAUUUUGUGGCCUGUAAUUUAAUCUCAACCACAGAAUUUCAUUAAAACCAAAUUUAACGGUUAAGGGGUGUCUCCAUUUUUUUUUAAAUGAGGAUCCCUUCUCUUAAAGGGCCUGUAUAACAAAUACUAUUGUAAUUAUUCAUUGUAUUGAAAGAAAGAUGAAUGUUUAGUUUCUAUAACUGACACACCCCGACCUGGAAUGUCUGCUAGGAUUCCGAAUCGAGGUGUGCUGGCUGACACCUAGAAGGUGACGAAGCCAUAAAUUGUGAUGAUGUGGAAAAAUGUGAAUAAAUUUAAACCUAAGAGUGCCUAAAUACCAGAGUUCACUGGUGAGCGGGAAUGAACCCACUUCACAUGUGACAUUAGAGCAUAAGCAAGUACAGAAUAGUGAAUUAAGAAUCGUACCCUCGAAAUAAUCUCCAAUACUAAGAAUCGCCACGAAUCUUGGACGAUAAGAAAGCUUAACUAAUAAGACCUGGAGGGUGAAGACAAGAUAAGAGUGAGUGGCCCUGUAAAUAAAAUUAUAAUAGAACCCAUAUAAAACAUUAUAACCCCUCGCUACAACACCUGUAUAAUAUCCAGAAAAUAUCAUAAAUAUACCACGAUACGGCAUCUAGUCAGCAAUAUCAAAUAAUCAUGUGAUUAAUAACUCAUACUAGUACGCAAGUCGGAAUCACCUAUGGUGACCUGUAUGACUUACUCAUAUCUCAUCACAUAUACUAGUUCAUCAUAUAUUUCAUCACAUAUGCUAGCUUAUCACAUAUUCAUCACAUAUGCUAGCUCAUCACAUAUUCAUCACAUAUGCUACAUAUUCAUCACAUGUGAUAUGCUAGUUUAUCACAUAUUCAUCACAUAUGCUAGCUCAUCUUAUCACAUAUUCAUCACAUAUGCUAGCUCAUCACAUAUUCAUCACAUAUACUAGCUCAUCACAUAUUCUUCACAUAUGCUAGCUUAUCAAUCGGAGUCACCUCUAGUGACCUAUACAACUUAUCCAUAUCUCCUCAUAUAUCUCAUUAAUCAUUGCUAGCAUAUAAGUCGGAGUCAUCUAUAGUGACUUGUACAACAUAUUCGUAUCUCAUCGCAUAUGCAAAUGAUAUGUCAGCCGGAUCCACCUCUUGUGGCAUAUACAGCUAAGUCUAUAGCUCAUAUCUCAAUCUAGUCGGAGUCACCUCUAGUGACCUAUACGGCACUACGCCUGCAUACGAGUCGGAACCACUGUAGUGGUAUGUACGACAGGACUAGGUGUAAAUGAAUACGCUCAAGUGCUACGAUCACGUGAAGAGUCACCUACGUGUCAGAAUCACCUAUAGUGGUCUGUACGACAGACCUGUGCACUUACCUUGAAUUCAAGGUAAGCGUAUGGUGCGAGAGGUGAACAUUACGUGAAGGAUUGUGCCCUAGCCAAGGGCGGGAGCACUAACACCGAGGUGCAGGUUUAUGAGCUUUAAAUGCAUCUAAUACAACAUGUAUGACUCAUAAGCAACCUGUAUGACAAUGCCGAAGUUGUCUACUAUUGCAAUCUGUGCGACAAUGUCGAAGUUGCUUAAAAUAUAAUUGUAGUCAUACCAUAACCCCAUCAGUUCAACUUAUACCGUAUUCUUACCUAGACUUACCUGAACUUACAUGAACUUACCUGCUAUGUUCUGCUUUCCUUCUUGCACUCUAAAGCGUUCACAAUAAUUUUGUGAAAGGAAUAUACAUAUGGAUAUAUCAGGAUGUAAUUCUGAAUUUCAACCAUACCAUAAUAUUUCCAGAUAUAUAAACACAUAAACAAAUGGCUUAAAAUGCAAUAAUUGUAACGCCCCACUCUCGAACCAUUUACUUUUGAGAAUAAUUAUCAGUGAUAAGCCUAAUUAGACACUAGUUUAAUUAACUAACAUUACUUACAUUUCCUUACUUUAAUUCCUUGAUUCUUCACACAUUGAUUUAGGAACGACAAUUAACUACCAAAUCAUAAGAUUAAUUCUCACAUUUUCCACCAAUGUCCCUCACAUUGUUCAAUUCCCCAAAUAAGGCUAUUGUCCCAAUUAUUUAGUCUCAUUUAUUAUAUGGCUGCAUCUAACAUCUUUUUAAACUACCUACGUACCCUAAACAGGGAUCAAGUCUUUCUUAGUUCGCAUUAGUAUGUCAAAGCAUUCACAGUAAUCAUAGGUAAUAAUUAAUUUAUAAACAUUUAUGGAAUUAUCAAUUAUAUAUAUAUAUAUAUACACACACACACGAUAGGAAGGAAAAGACCCACUCACCUAAGGUCCGCACUACGACUCCCUAGCACACAUAUGGAGACAUCACGAACCAUCACUGCCUGUGACCAAGGCCAAUUUGGCCUGGAAAGGCUCCAAUUUCCCUCAAAUCCACCGAGAACCCUAGAAAUGGGUAUUCUUGAUUUGUCCCCAAUUCGACUCCAACGUUCCAACCAAUGAUUGGGCAUUGUUCUAGGCCUCAAGGGAAGUCUAUUGGUGGUGACAAUUGGAAGAAAUUGCUUCAGAAAUGGGAGAAUUGACACAAAACCCGUCAGUGUCACCAUCGCCAAAUGUCACGGAUUUGACCCAAUUUCCAUCGAAUCUCGAUAGAAGAAUGAAGGGGAAGAGGUAUGGUGAUGAUUACAGGUGGAAAUGGGGUGAAAUUCGCCUGAAAAACGGCUUGGAAACGCCGGAAUUCCACCGUCUUCGAAACCGUGUUGGGUGCGGGUUCAAGGGAUCCAGCCGAUCCUCUCCUUUUCUUUCUCCCUCAUUUCCCUUCUUUCCUUCUUCUAGUUGGUCACGCCCUUCCUCUCUCCUCUCCUCACUCAGCCUCUCCUUCAAUUUUCCAGAUUGGGCAGCUUUGCCCAAUCCCUUUCUAUCCUCUUUUUUCUUCCUCUCUACGCCUUCAUCUUUCUUUUUCCCAUAAUUCUAACGACAACUAAUAAAAUAAUAAUACUUAUAAUCAUAUACAUAUAAAUAUAUAUAUAUAGUAACCAAAAUAAAAGUACUUCUCGAUUUAGAGUUCCGUAGAAUUUUAACCGUAACUCCAAAUCCUCUUCUGCUUGCGCCUACGAACUCGUGUUGUCGAAUACUUCAGGGAUACGCUAAAGCAAAAUUUCAUACGCCUCACUAUACGCUGAUCAACGAAAAUCAAAACCCUAACCUCUAAGGGCACUUUCGUAAAAUCAUGCCUUUAAAAUUCAUAAAAUCGUAGAAUUAGGGACGGGCUGUCACAAUAACCCUCAUGUAGAAGAAAACGACAUGUUGUUUAUUUAUCAUUUUAGAGAAUUUAUUUGGAAGAUUGGGUGAAAAUCGAUGAAUAUACAAAUCUCAAUUGAUGAACGGAUUAAAAUUAAAGUACAAAAGACAUCGAUCAAAUGCUGACAUAUUGCUCCCUCCAACAUUGACGACAUAUCGACCGAACGCUAAAAAUGAUCAUUUCCGCAAGUUCAUCAUGUCAUCCCAUCUCAAAGGUGAGUGAAAGCCACCAAGUAAUAGAAUAAUCAACCUUUAAUUUUUCUCACUGCGGAAAUGUGAAAUAGAAUUUGAGCGCAAAAGAGGUCGGCAAAGUUCAGCCCGUGUAAAAAUUUUCCCAUGCGGCUACGAACAUUGGUGUCAAUUGCAGCACUUGCCAACAACCGCCCAAAAAGCGGGCAUGCGCAACUGAACUUAGCACUCCUCAGUUUUGGAAAAGUUCAAUGACUAUUACAAUCAUAAGCAAUCAAGAUUCUUACUCAGCAUAUCACAACUCAGAACGUUUACAUAUAAAUUAUCAUGGAAAAUUAUAACUAAUGCAGUCGGAAGCUGCAUGUUUAAAUUUACAAGCCGACCCCCCGAAUUGUCCAAUUCUUCUUUUUCCGGUCGAAGUUUGCCCAAUUCAGGGGACCUGAAUAUCACCCAAUUGACCGGAGCAUAGUCCUAAAUUAACUUCACCGGUUGACCACUGAACACAAAAUUGACCUACUACCUUAUAUACAGCAGCCUACAAGAACUCCCUGGCAGAGUACGCCUUCGACUCAAAGAUCGAUUUACUGAGGAUGACUAUUUUUUGUUUGAGGAACCUGAGUGCUCACGUUGGCAAUCAAUGACUGUUGCGCGGCAACAAGAUGUGGUGGAGCGGACAGAUUUGACGGGGGUCUUGAAGCAGCAGGAGUUGGUUGGGUUGGCUGAAUAAUGAACUGGUUGAGAGCAGCAGAGUAAGCCCGACCUGACAGGCUUCCACGCAUCCGACCUGUUGGUCGCCAAUUCUCUCCGGAUGACAAGUCUGGUGAUCCAUCAGCCCCUGAAACUGCUUGCACCGUUUCUACUACGUUUCUGCUCUGCUCCAGUGCAGCUGUCCUGAAACCUUCAGCAUUUGCUGGCAAAAUUGGCCUGUUUCUUGGAGAUUGAUUUUGAACUGGCGUCGAUGGAGACUGCCUGGCCAUCAUAGCAACUCGCUGCUGCUGACCAAUCGCGAACCUUUGUUGGUUGUCUAAAGAACUUGAUGUUUGACCAGUCUCAACUCGUACACUUCCUUGCUGAAUAUGGGCCCGCGAGACAUGUGAAGAUGAUCGAUUGGCGCUUGAAAGCUGACCUACAGUCUGGGGAGUCCGUGGAUUAAAAGCUUGCUGCAGAUGUGCAUUUUGGAACUCCAUAAGCCCAAGAGAUGUUCGGUUAACACUCUGCAGUUGACUCGGAGCUGGAAGGCCAACAACCUGUUGGGCAGAUUGGCCAUGACGAUCCCAGUUCUGCAAGAUUAAUGAAAUGCAACUCAUUAGCAUGACAAAAUGGACACCAAAAAAAUAUCAUUUAGAUUGGAAUUCCGUAAAUUAGCAACGAAAAAGUCUCUACAAUGCUUUGGCCAACAACCAAUCAAACUGAAAAGUGUUGAUUAAAAAUCAAGAAUUUGAGGAACCAAUCAAACUGAAAAGUGUUGAUUAAAAAUCAAGAAUUUGAGGUCCAGGGUUCCCAACUUCUAUUUAUACUGGUCGCCACCAGCAUAACAAAAUGGACUUCAAGAAAAGAAGGGAGCAUUAACCUGUGUUGUUUGUGAGGGCGGUUGCAUUGACGAUGGAGCAAUAAUUGACACUUGAGGCAGAUUCAUUCGGGGCCUAGAAAAGUGUUGCUGUCUUUCCACAUCACUACAUACUGCAGUGACACCAUUUGCUGUGGGUGUGAUAGACUGGCCAACCUGAGAACUAAGAGAGGCACUAGGGGGAGUAUUGAAACUAGUUCUAGAUCUUUGCUGCAAUCCUGGCGUCUGGGCAGGAAGGGCCUGAACUGCUGUUGGUGUCCUAGGUAAUACUGUGUUAGCAAAUCUCCCAUACUCAUUGCUAACAGUAGCAUUUGAACUUGCAAACUGCGGCUGUUGUAACUGCAAAUUAUUGGAGGAAAAUUGAGUAUGCAUUGCAGAUGCCACAAGAUCAGUGUUCACACGACUCUCAGUUCCUCGAUCAAGCGCAGGAGAAACGGCAUCAGUCAACACAGGCAGGUGUAAAUAAUUUGCAGGACCAGAGUGAGAGAUACCACCAUCCAUCUGGGUGUCUGACCUUAUACUCGAAGUCAACGAGCCAUUAGGUAAGUAAAUGCCAGACCAAAAGUCGUCCUCUAGAUGAGCAGGAACAGUUUGAUUAACCCUGUUUGUGUUGCAAAGAGGUUUUACAUCUUCGGUUUCGCAAGCACUCAAGGUGUCCAUCUCAGUAUCAUCCUCAGUAAGAUCCAAAACAAAAGGAAUUGCAGAUGAGACACGGGUAGAUUCUUCCUGUUCGGAAAUUUCAUUUUGAAAGGCCUUAUCAUGUGCCUGAACUAGAUCAUCAUCAUUCUCCAGUCCAGCUUUCCAUGAUCCAUCCAUAGAGAUUAUUACCUCAGCAACAUUCGCUCCUACCUCUAUCAGGACCUAGGGGAGAAAAGCAACUGAUUUUAUAAUAUUGGGUAAAAAAUAACGCAAACAGACAGGACGAAUGCAAAUAAAUAGCUACUUGCCUUAACCAUAUUUUGAUCAACGCGGAGGUCCAAAUAGCAGACAUACUGAUUACAGUGGGGACAGCGCCACGAAGGUCGUCUUAAAUUUAUAUUGACGUAAUUACUGAAGUCGAAACACUAUAGCUCAUAUAAGCAACAGAAAAUUAUAUUAGAAGUCAGUAUUGACUAUAGUUACAAGAAAAUAUAUUACCAUGUACAACUACAAUCACAGAAUAACUUCAAAUUUCAUCAACUACCCAAAAGCUUGAAACCGAAAAAAUCAACUCAGGACAUAAAGGACAACAAAUCCAAUUCCAAAUUCUCAACUUCCCCUCCAAACCUCAACAACUAACAAGAGAACAUUUUGGUGGGACAAAGCAAAAACUUUCAUCCAGCUUUUUCUAUCCUCCUUACAACCCCUAUAGCACAAACAAAGAAAAUUUUAAUUUUUGUCUUUUUUCUGCUCCCAAAGAAUGAAAAAAAAAAUCAUAAUAAUAUUUUUAAGAUAUUAAAUCUGAACCCGAACUCAUAAGAAAUAUCUCCAACGUAUAAAUUGGAAACCACGUGACCUCCAAGCAGCACAUUAAAUCACUUGCACAUAUAAUGGAGGUGGAAAGCAUCAAUGUAAUUAGAAUCCACCUCUAGUGCACAAUUUAAAAAACAAAAAACUCUGAGUCUAAUAGAAUCAAUCAUGCAAGCAAGACGCAUACAAAUCGAGGAACAAUGUUACAAGUCUCAAAAGCUAGUUACAUAAUGAUUAUGAAGGAAGUUGCAAACAAAAAUUUAAAACCAAAGGCAUCAAUGGGAGAAAAGGAUGCAUGGAGCACUCACCUGAAGAUGUUUGCACAAAUGUCCUUUGACAGGAGUUUUUAUACGUGUAUAACUGUUUUACAGAUAAAAGUAAAAUGUAAUAAUCAGCAUCAUAGCAAUGAAGUUUCAUCAUGAAAGGAUUACCAAACUACACAUUUUUCAUCCAUUUUAAUGUAGAGAAAUAGACAACAAAAAAGUAGAUAAGAUACGAAACACACUUCAAACCAUUAACAAAUUUAUUCACUGAAACCAGGACACAUGAACAAAAUGCUAUUUUGAUUGUUGAACUCAAUGCUUGACAAUAUAGAAGCAGCUGGUGUAACUGAUGAAAAACACACAAAAUAAAAUUGAUGUUGUUCCAAUAUUUCAGUGAAAAACAAAAAAUGUUUCUUCAAAAAGAGAUUCAGAAGUUCAGAAUAUAUGAGACGAGAAAGAUCACAUAAAUAGGCAUCAACAUUUAACCUAUGACAUCUUCAUAUGAAGCUACUCAGCCUCUCCUGAUCAGAAUCAAUUGAAAAUUAGCAAAUAUCCCAUAAUGUUUCUAGCAUUAACAUUUCUACUUAAAGUAAAUCCUGAUAAUACGUUUCAAAUCAAAUGUCCCAGGAAUACAUAUCUCCGAUAUAAAAGGUUACAAAUACACUAAUAAAAUUCAAAACCAAAUAUAGUAAGAAAAUUAUAGCAACAUUAAAGCUACAAGCAAUAGAUAUCAAGGCAUACCUUAUGGGACAAUUGAGAGAAAUUCUUGAUGGCCCCUCAAUUAUAUCAGGAUCUAAUGAUUAAAAGAAGACAAUUAAAAAACUAUGCCAUUGUAAAAAGCCUAAAUGCUUUGCAAAUUCCUGAUACUACAAGAUAUAAUCAAGUGUCUUUUGAUGUUUCCUAUGGAGAAUACCUGAAUCUGACGGAGACACAGUGGACUGCGAAUAAUCUUUCAGUACUGGAGUGUCAGGUGAUGGUGUGAUACUCAUAAAGGCAACCACUAUGGUAUAAUGACCUAAAAAUAGUUCAAUGUGUCAGAGCUGGAUGAAUAUAGCACAAGAAAACUACAAUAAUUAGAACGUGAUGACUUGCAUCCAAACUCACCAUUGAAUUGGCCCACAGCUUGCAGAAGAUUUGAUCCAAACUUAAGCAUUCCAGUCACAACUGAAGGUAACUGGGGUCCAGUAUCCUGUAAAGAAAAUUAAAGGCACAGGGUGUUAUGAAAUGAAUACCAUGUUACAAUCCAAAUUUUGUCAAAUUUAGUUAUCCAGUUAGCGGAACCGCACAAACCAUUGUAACAUUGAUCCUUUUAUCUACUCCCUUUCCAUUUAGCAGAAAGCUACAGAAUUGAAAGAAAAAAAAUGUUGUUAGAAUAAAUAGGAAACACUUCUAACUAAACUAAAAGGUUGAGAGGAAAAUCAGCCGUACUUCACUUGUGGUGGACUUAUAAUACAUGCAGAUGUCUCUAUAUUAUCUGUUUGUGCUACAAGUAAUCGCUUGAGGCAAACAGAAAGGGUGAGGUCAAGAAUAACUUCUAAAAAUCAUAAUUCCAAUUUCACAUAUAAAUGGAAAACAGUAUAACGUAAACAAUUAGAACAAAGAGAGAAACCGCCACGAGUAUAUAACCAAAUAAUAAAGUUAUGAUGACACGAAUUAUAUGUAUAGUUAUUCUCUAAUAAGAUAAAUAUGGACAUACUUCUUUGUUGUUAGAUAGACAUGGACGACUAGGAUGCACAGAGGAUAAGAUCUCAGCCAUCCAUAUCAAAUCUAGCAACUACUAAAGACCUAAAUUAAGGACUUGCACCCUAAAUGUUAGAUCAGAUAUGGAAGAUUAAGAUGCAUCUCACUCACUACUAUUUGAAAUGAACAAUAAGCAUCUAGAAGGAGACAUAAGCCUUCCACUGGACCAGAUAUGACCAUUCAGUCAGCCUUCAUGAAUGAUGUGUUUGCUUGUGUUAGGAUUUUGGCUCGUCAAGGUUAGUGUCCUAUUUUGUAUAGGAUUGUAUUAGGGAAAUAAAAGGUGCACCGAUUCUUCUCCAAAAGGACUAGGAAAGAAUCAAAGUUUCCUUGUACAAUUAGAUUAGGAGUCCAAGAAGCCUAAUUUGGAAAAGGAAAAAUGUGUACUUUCCUAUUCCAUAUAAAAUAGGAAACUUAAUCAGAAAAUAGGCAUGUAAACCACACCCUAUACUUAUAAGUAGGGUGCGGCAAGGCUAGGGAAUGUGUGAGAAAAGCCAAAGAGAGCUGAGAGGGAUAAAGGGCGAAUAGUUCUAGGAUUUUACAAAAGUACUAUAACUCUAUUAUUAAUCAAAGAAGUCGUGGUUUUCUACCCAGGGAAAUCACAAGUGGACGUAGGCAAAAGUUCUGACGAACCAGCAUAAAUCUUGUGUGUCUCUAGUUAUUCUCUAAUUUGCUAAGUUUAGUCUACUGCUGGAUACAUCAAAGAGCAAGAUCCAUAGGGAGUCAACAUUAUAAUAACUUGUGUAUGAUGUAUGACAUUCAUGCAUACAUGUUUAAAUAAACUACAAGACUCAAGAACUUACAACCACUCCAACAUUCAAACAAAAAUGCAUCUAACUUUAUAAGAUGCUUACAAUUUUUUCUUGAGGAGAAUAAUGUGUACUCUUCGAAAUAUGGAAAUCAAGCACAUGCGCCCCAUAUCCAGACUACAACGUGAUAAGACAUACGUCAAAACAAACCCAAAAGAAGGGAUAGGAAAAAAAGUUGAAAAAGGGAAUGAAGAGCCACCUUGACUUCUAGAGAGGCAAGUAUCUGGCCCAUCUUCAUCAUUGGAUAAUACCUACACCACACACAAAAGGAGAUCUUUCUAAAUCAUUUGCAAACUCAGCAAAAGACAUCCGUUGAUACUUGAUACCAAAAGCAUGAUUAUUAGGACAAGCAAAGAAAAAAUAUUUUGAACCUUAGAAGCUAAAGAAGUCAUUGUAAUAAAAAAAUUCUACCUAUUUCUAGUUAAACUCUAAAUUCUAAAUUCUAAAUUCUAAUAUGAACAUGGUGCAGGAUCAUUAGGCUGAGAUGAUAUCCUUUAAAAGGAAACAUCAAAUGAAAUCUAUAUUAUACGUGUGUAUACACAUGUAUGUUGUAACAACAUGAACAAAAUUAAAGCACGAUACAAGUUCCCACCUUUCCAUAAUUGUGUCUAUAACAGAAAGAGAACAGCUAGCUCCAGUUUUAACAUCCCCCAAGCUGCAGAAGCUACUCCCUAUCUAUAAUUGCACAAGAAGAUCAUCAGCAACAUCAACAUAAGACAAAUUUAAGCAAUAAUAAACAAAUUAACAGCAUACCUCGUUAGCUAGAAAAAAGAGCUCUUCAGUCUCCUUAUCCGAAAACCAUCCAGUCCUACAAGCAUUCUGCCAAGUAAAACACAAAGUCAGCUCGAAACUCAUGAUUACGUUCAAAAUUGGAUACAAAACAAAAACCAAACAAAGCUUCAAGCAAAAAGGGGAUAACAAAAACAUGAACAUGGGCAAGCAGGAUAUGCUACUUUUUUUUUGGUAAAGAAGCAGGAUAUGCUACUUGGAUAAAUGGUUAGCAUCCGUUUUCGCAUUUAUUACAUAAAAUGAACCACAUUCUGGUUUAUACCUUAACAGAAAUCAUCAGCACCAUGAUAGCAGCUUCCAAAACCUUAUCACUCUUGCGUUGGCAUAUCUACACAAAACAAGAGUUAAAUUACAAAUCUGUCACUCAAAAUAAAGGGGAAAACAAACCGAAACCAGGAAUUCACGAACUAGAAGAAGAAAACUACAGUACCUGCUUCAACAACCCAGGUAAAUCUUGAGCAAUCGCCGGAACCUCAUUGUUUGCAACGGCAUAGUCAAUGCCUCUGCAUUUUGCCAAAGCAAUUUCAUAAAAAGGAAGGAAAAUUGAGGAAUUCAAUUAGGGAUUUGAGAAAAAUGGGGGAAAGGUUUUUACCUGGAAAGGGAAAGGCAGAGAUUGAAGAACUCCAUGGCCUCGCCGCGAUAGCCAGAUUUGACGUGAGCUGCCAAGCGCUCAGCGACGGCAGCGAUUCGGUAGGAGUUAACGACGGAAGCGGAGAGUCGCUGCUGCCCAACGCCUUUCAGACUGACUAAGUUGCUGACCGCCUGCGGUGUUAGCGUUGUUCGGCUCAUUAGCUCGCACAGACACACCCACCACACCCACACCUACACGCGCCCGUCUCUCUCUUCCUUUCUCUUCCCUCUCUCUCUCUCUCUCUCUGUCUCUCUCCCUCUAGGCCUUUCAAAUGUUACAAAAAUUGCAGGAGAAAUUAGAAAAAGGGUUCCGGAAAGCUACGCGGGACCCAUGACACAGUACUUGUAAUUUCCAACCGUGCAGGCAUUUUACAACAAAAAAUAAAUAAAUAAAGUGUAGGUAAUUUUUAUUUAUUUUUUGGGCGGGUAGAUCACCCUACAAACUAGCUCAAAGAGUUAUUACAAAUAAUUCGUGUCCUAAGACCCCUAUCAUAUCAUCAAAUAAUCGAGUUUCAAUCCAAUUAGGAGGAUUUUCAAAAUAAUGGUGUCAAAAUCCAUAUUAUAGCUACAAUUGGCAAUGUUAUCUACAAUCAUGUUCUCUUGAUAGACAUGCACUAAUUUGCAUUCGGCUAUGCGUGUCAUAAGUUAUCUACACUGAUGAAUAAUGUUGGCAUGAGAAUGAAAGCUGGUAUCAAUCAUAUUAUUAAUUAAGUUAACCACAAGAGCCGAAUCUAUCUCCAUCACCAUGAAUCUAGAAAUGAUGGAAACACCUCUCAACAAACCUUUUCCUCCACCAUUACACAAUGUUUUUCAACACACAACCCUUUCUUUGGCGAGUUCUCGCCGUCUCCGACGAAGGUAAGUCCCUAGAACCUCGUGGAUCGUGUUCUAGUAUUAUAUUAGGGAAGUUUUAGGCGUUAAUCACAUGUGGACAUAGGAGAAAACUCGAAGGAAUGUACUGUACACUUUCUGGAAAAACCUAAACCGUGGUUGUUUGGCCACUUUCUAGUCACUUUUCUAGCCAACUCUGACCUUUGUUGAUCUCGAAAGGGUAUAGAUCUCUUCUCCACAUUUCUAGCUUUACAUAGGAUCUUGAAUCACUCGAUUUAGAGUUGUAUUGAGCUCAAAAUAAGCUCUGGAAGUUGGAAGAAAAUCUGGAAAAUUUCCAGAAAUUGGGAAGGCGAGUACAGUGUACUCAUGGGCGCAUGGGGCUACGCGUGGUGUUGUAAUGCCCAGUGCGUGGAGCACACGCACCUCCAUCGGAGGUACUGUGCUUCGCCACCAUCCACGACGACAACCACGGCAGCACUGACGACUUUCCGACCAACUUUCCAAUGACCCAAAUCGAUGUAUGGCGGAACAUCCAGUGGUGAGUAGCCUCACAGCCGCCGCCCCGCGGUGACGCGCGGCGGCACGUGAAGGAACCCGAGGUCCCUUCUUAGGUUUUUCGACGUCCCGAAUCCAAAUUCAACAUCCGUUUUCCCAAAUUCAAUCGUAUUAGUAGGGUUUUAAUAAUUGGUCCUUUUAUGUGCUUAGGUGCGAUUGUUGGUGGCGAUUCCAUCCUCCCUUGCCCAAACGGCUCUUUAACGACAGAGUAUCAGUGAAUGAACCCCUUCUUAAAUUGCAUGAUUUUUAUUAAAUGCUAGACUUGCAUUCAUGAAAAGCAUGGUUUCAUGAUUUUACGUGUCAUGCUUUAUUUACGAUUUAUUGAAUUUAAGUUUACGAAAGAUUUACGAACCAUGGCUUUUUACACUUUACGAUACAUGAUGGAUUUAUUAUGAUUUUGGAUGAUGAAGUUUUGGUAUUGUACACUUGGUAUGAGAUUUUGGUUACGUUUUUCGGUGCUUAUCUGGUGGGUAAUCAUACAACACAUACACAUAACCUGAGUAUGUAUACGUUUAUAGCCAUAGGACACAGUUCAGGAUCAAUGAGAUACUUAUGGCAUACUCCUAGCUUCAUUGGAAAAACCAGUGUUAGAUAGCUUCACUAGCCACAGUUAGUGUCGGUGUGUUAUGUUAUAUUUCUUCUCUAGCUUCACCCAGAAUGUUACAGCUUCACCUUUAGGUGAUGGGAUCUACCAUGUUUCUUCACUGGCAUAACCCAGUGUCGUACAGCUUCACCCUCGAGUGAUGGAUAUGCUUCGGGCGACUAUGAUACCCUUAAUUGAGUACUUUAUUAUUUUGGAUUUAUGAAGGUUUUAUGGAUUUACCUUCGAGCGACUAUGUUAUCAUUAAUGAGCACUAUUUUAUACAUACAUGUGGAUGCACAAAAUCAGCGAGGACUUUGGUACAAUAGAAAGUGUUAAGUUUGUGACCUUCGCUAGAUUGUUCCGGUCACUAGUGUGGAUAAGUAAGUAAAUGGAUAGGGACAGGGAAGCAAACACAAGAUGUACGUGGUUCACCCAGAUUGGCUACGUCCACGGAGUAUGAGGAUUUCUCAUUAAUUGUGAAGGGUUUACACAAGUACAUAGGUUCAAGCUCUCCUUUAGUGAGUACUAGUGAAUGAUUUAGUACAAAUGACAUUAGGAAAUAUUGUGAGAUAAUGAUCUCUAUUUAUAGAAGAGAGUUUCUAGUUUCAUUCUAACAUUGACACGUGUCGUGUUGUGAUUGGCUUUUGAUGUUAACACGUGUCGCGCUAUGAUUGGCUUCUGAUGUCGACAUAUGUCGCACUGUGAUUGGCCUCCUGGUUGGAGGGAAACUCUUCUGGGUCCUUGACGGUAUAACGGUGACCGGUCCUCAGUAGUUUCGAGAUUGGUCAAGUAUGGUACAAACAGUGCUCCCCUAAGUUCCCGAAUAAGGGAAGCUCAUCAGUUGGGGACUUGCAAGAUCCAAGUCAUUGAGUAAUCAUGAAACUUCUAAGUACCGAAGUGUGGUAUCAUUUUCACUUUCCUUAUCUGUCUCAUAUGUAGAUGUGGCAUCUUCUUUAGAAGUACUUUUCCUCCAUCCACGGGUGGUAUCUUUAACCGAUGAAGAUGCACAAGGUAAUGUAUCAAUUUCACUUGAAGCUUACUUGUAGUUUCGAGCUUGGUUAAGUGCGAUACAAACCCUAUAGUAAGAGUCCCCCAAGUCGCCGAGCUAGGAGAUUUGCCGAAGGAGGUAACAGACAAGGUAAGCAAUCAGACUUCCAAGCAAGCAACCUGGAUCGGAAGUUCGACUUCGGCUUCCGGUUGAUUGUUCUCCUUCUUCUUGUGUCGUAAAUAGCACCAAGGAUAAAGAGAAGCAAAUGGAGAAGAGAUGAUAUGAGAUACUUUUGAUUUUGAAGAAAUAACUUUCCACAGGCUUAUUCUUGAACUGGGCUGGAGGGUUUUCUGGUUUCCUCCAGAGUAUAAGGCCGACUCAAGAAUUUGAGGGUCAAAACAAGUCCAUCAAAUCUAGAGUACGUUCGACCCUGAUGAUAUGGGAUAUUUUUGCUGUUGAAAAAGUAGUGGAUGUAUCGGCACAUGUUCUGUUACGCUUGUCUCCACAUGCUUCCUUGUAUCAUUCUCACUUACCCUAUCUGUUCCUCAAGCAGAUGUGGUAUCUUCUCUGGAAGCAUAAGAUGUUGAAGAUGAGUACUCGAGAGCAAUGCCAGGUAAGUAAUCAGGCAAGGGGUUCCAGGCAGUCAAUUCCUAACUGGAAGCUUGAUUCCACGACGCCAAAUGUUGAUGCACAAAAUCAACGAGGACUUUGGUACAACAAAAAGUGUUAAGUUUGUGACCUUUGCUAGAUUGUUCCGGUCACUAGUGUGGAUAAGUAAGUAAAUGGAUAGGGACAGGGAAGCAAACACAAGAUGUAUGUGGUUCACCCAGAUUGGCUACGUCCACGGAGUAGAGGAGUUCUCAUUAAUUGUGAAGGGUUUACACAAGUACAUAGGUUUAAGCUCUCCUUUAGUGAGUACUAGUGAAUGAUUUAGUAUAAAUGACAUUAGGAAAUAUUAUGAGAGAAUGAUCUCUAUUUAUAGAAGAGAGUUUCUAGUUUCAUUUUGACAUUGACACGUGUCGUGUUGUGAUUGGUUUCUGAUGUUAACACGUGUCGCACUAUGAUUGGCUUCUGAUGUCGACAUAUGUUGCGCUGUGAUUGGCCUCCUGGAUUGAGGGAAACUCUUUUGGGUCCUUGACGGUAUAACGUUGACCGGUGCUCAGUAGUUUCGGGAUUGGUCAAGUAUGGUACAAACAAUACACAUUUUAGAUGUUUUCAUGGCACAUUAGGGUUUUCAGAAAAACCUAGUAUGUAGUAUUAUAUAUGUCUGUUUUCAAAACAGAGGUAUGUUCAAAAGAAAAUUAGGUUUACUUAGUAUUAAUUUUAUUAUAAACUUUGGUCCACUCACCCCCUUCAAGACUUAAAAUCGAGGCGUACGAUUUCAAUGUUAAGGCAUUCCUAUAUCAGUACCUUCGAGUCCUCUCGGUGUAGGACCCCCAUUUCUUUGUAAUACCAUUGUUAUAUAAUAUUCUUUUCGUAGUAUCCUUGAUUAGUUGUAAACUUUGAACACAUUCCCGCAUUCGCAUAUUUCAUUAUAUUUAAAUUUACUUAUUUUAUUUACAGUUGCUUUUUCUUCAUAACUUGCAUACAUGUUAAAAUGGCUUCUUCACCCUGGGGUGUCAGCCAGCACGUGCCCAUCUUGGUGUUUGAAGGAUAUCGGGAUCAGGGUGUGUCAUAAAAGGAGACACAAACCAGACAGCUCGAGCAAACCCAAAGUCCUUUGAUAAAUGUUCGUCAGUUUUCAAGCGCUCCAUUGCACACCCCUCCAUACCAUAUCCAACUUGACUCCUUUUGGAUAGUCUUGCCACCAGGGAAUCAAAAUGGUGGAGUAGCCGCCACCCUUGCUUAGUCACCAUUGCCAAGUUAAAGGCAUAAAUGUCUCGACAUCCCAAACCACACUCCGCCUUUAAUUUACAUAAUGUCCCAUGACCACCGAUGGAUUUUACACGCCUCCGGAUCACUUCCUUACCAAAACAUUGCUAUUAACUGAUGUAAUUCAUUGCAAAAAGUUUUCGGUAAUGAAAAACAGUUCACUGCAUAAGAUGGGAAAGUUUGAGCCGCCAACUUUAUAAGGAGUGCUCUGCCACCUCGACUAAGCACCUUACUUUUCCAUCCACUAAGCCAUUUGGCAAUCCUCUCUUUAAUGAAUGAGAAGGUUUGUUUCUUGUUCCUUCCCACACCCACAAGGGUAGGUAGCACCAAGUAUCUAUUAUGUCAUCCACCAACUAAACCCUCAGAAAAUCGGCCAAUUACCGCUGCUCAUAGUAUUGCAUAUUAGCACUAAAAGCUACACUACUUUUACUGAAGUUCACUGCUUGACCCAACCUGAUGACUUGGAAUACAAGUCCAAGACAUUUUGGACGACAACAUAUUCAUCCACGUUGGCCUUACCAAAUAGAAAGCUAUUGUCGGCGAAAAGCAAAUGAUGAAUACUUGGUGCCCCGUCACAAAUGUGUAUACAACUCAAAGCUCCCAUUUGUUCCUUCUUUGCAAUGAGCCGAUAGACCUUCAACACAAAUGAGGAAAAGAUAUGGCGUCCCCUUGCCGUAGUCCCUUGGUUGGUACCACGUAACCUCGCGACUCUCCAUUAAUUAAAAAAGAAUAUGAGACUGAUUUCACGCAAGUCAUGAUUGCCUUAGUCUAUUUCCCGUCAAAUCCCGUCUUAAACAUCAUUGUUUCCAAAAACGUCCAUUCCACUUUGUCAUGGGCUUUACUGAGAUCCAGUUUCAAAGCUAGAAAAUCAUCUCUCCCCGCACGUUUAUUAUGUAGAUAAUGGUCAAUCUUCGCUACCACCAAGGAAUUAUCCAAAAUCAAACAGCCCGAAACAAAAGCACUUUGAUGUGGAGAGAUAAUGGUAGACAUAAUUCAUUUGAGCCGAUUGGCUAACAUAAUUCAUUUGAGCCGAUUGGCUAACACCUUAGCUCUUAUCUUGUAGAUGACAUUGCAUAAACUAAUGGGUCGUAACUAUGACAUAUCUUGAGGCUCAUUAACUUUGGGUGCCAAAACAACAUCAGCGAAGCGAGCCUCCCUCAAAAGUCUUCCCGAAUUAAGGAAGGAGCGAACAUCCUCCACCACAUCAUGCCCAACAAUAUGCCAAAAACGUUGGUAAAAUAGCUGGGAUACCCCAUGCCAAAUAAAGUAUAGGCAUUGACGAAAGGGAUUUUGGUUAAUUUAUAUUUAAUUUGUGAUCUGAGAUCUAUUGAGUGAAGUGAAAUACUAAAUCGUAGUAGAGAUUAGAGUCGUCUAGCGACUAUUACUUUUAAUUCAAACGAAAGAAAAUUGGUAUGAACCUAAGAUCUCUUCAAUGAUUUCUUGCAUUGAUCAUGUUCUUUGUAACGUGAAGCUUCAAUCUAUAUGCCAUGUACGCAUCAAACCGAUUGCAUAUCGAAAAAAUAUCCCUCUUAAAGUUGGCUUCUUAAAUCUAUAAAUUUUCUAUGAUUUCUUGCAUUGAUCAUGUUCUUUGUAACGUGAAGCUUCAAUCUAUAUGCCAUGUACGCAUCAAACCGAUUGCAUAUUGAAAAAAUAUCCCUCUUAAAGUUGGCUUCUUAAAUCUAGAAAUUUUCUAGAAGGGUAAUGCUAGAUAAACUAAUCAACUCUUAUGUCAUUUAGUUUACAAAAAAUUGUCUAACAAUUUAGUCUCCCUAGCAUUAUCUUUUCUCGAAUGCACCUGUCGAAGGGUAGUUGAAAGUAAGUAAUUUUUCGCACUUUUAUUUUUCUAUCCUCUAGGUUUUUUUUGUCAAACAUUAUAAAAUCCAUUAAUAAAGAAAGCAAGUACAAAAGAAGGAAAGCCCAAAACAAACAAGUAAAAGCACAAUCCAACAUAAUAGAAAAUACGAUGAAUAAGAAAAGAAAGACCACAAACAAGAGAAAACUCCAACUGAAACCCUAAAUUUGAAAAAAAAAAUUAAAUAAAUAAAAAAAAAAGAAAAAGUGCCUAACCCCUCUAUAAGCUAGUUGCAGCACCUUCACAACGCCAACACCAUCAAGAAGACGAACCAAGGAACCACAAAUGGAUGAAUGAAAAAUGAAGGUGGCCACGCCACCCGCGCAAUGAGCGCUCCCAUAGUCCUACCAGAUAGUGCAAAUAUCACUUUAAAAGCCACCAUAUGGUGGAGCACACCUCCUAAUGAACAACUUGGAAGAGCCAUCCAAUGAAACAAGUAGCCAAGGUUGAUGAUAGAGGAUUCGUAAGGAGGAACAACAACUGGGAGGAACGAUGCAUAACAGACUGAGAUAAACUCAAAGCAAAAUUGAAACGAGCUCAGAAUAAACUGAGACAAAAGCUCAGAGCACAGCACCAGAGGAUAACAGAUGCUAAUGCUGAUGAGGGAAAGAAAACAAAACCAGAAGGAAAGCAGACAAAAAAAAAAAAAAAAAAGAAACAGAAGGGAGGGAGAGACCAGGACGGAGGGAAAGAAAGGAUUUGGGGGAGGGGUUAGAGGGGAGAAAUAAAUCAGAAACCCUCCCAAACUUCACAUUCAUUCACUCACAAUUCAUUGCAUACGAAAACCUUUGCAACACAUCGAACAAACGAUUUUCUCAUCCUUCAAUGAGGCUACCCAACAAGUCAAAAUCUGAUUAAUGACUUCAUGAUUUUCAAUAACCACACUUCUACGGUAAACGUUCACUGCCACGUAACGUCCCAAUCCAAUAAUGCAAUGUUAUGCAGUGAGAAUCUUACACAGCGCCACAAUGAUAGUAAACCCAUUUCAUGUGUGUCCUCCUGCCAAAGGACAGCAACAUAAACACUCCCUGCUGAAAUGCCAGACAAUGGUGGAGUUCCAAUUAGGGCAUAAAGUCAAUUGCAAGCAACAGAAGAUUUAGGUUUUUCCAUGAAACAAAAACUUCUAAAAUUCAUCACAAUGGAGUCGAAAUUUCAAUUAUACAGUUAAAUUUCACUUUUCUUUCUUUUUUUCCAAAAACAAAAAGUCGCACUAAUUCUAAUACACUAAUGGCUCUUUUGCCACUGUAGAAGUAACUUUUCAGCUUCAUCUUCUGUACGACACAAAAGAAGGCAGAGGAAUAAACAAACCUUGCAGCCGAGAGAAAGCCGAGCAGCACAAGAUGAUACAGAAGGUGUUCUCAGAAGUUACAAUUAAAGCUUCUGCAACCGAUCAGCCCUUACCUUGCGUGAGAGAAAAAUACACAGCUAAGAUCAUUGGGUUCAGAGAAAUCACAGUUGAUAAAACGUGGAUAAAAUCUAAGGUCACUGAACAUUGAAUUAACAUAGAGAUUUCCCCAUAACAGCUAAUUCCUAUCGCCAAUUACCUUAGGCUUCCAUUCAGUACUAUUUUUCCUACUGUAAUCGUGUUCGUUGUUUCCGUUUGAUUUAUUCAAUCCCAAGGCCAGAAAUAAACACAGGCAUGUAGGAAAAGAAAAAUGGUGUGGCUAUUCCAACACUUGUAGCAGUUUUUCACCUAUUGCUUUUUGAAUUAAUUCCUAUGUCUAAAUCUCUGUACCUUGUGCGGAGGACUUCCUGGUCUUAACAUGUUGUUGCUUAUCCCAAGCCUUCCCUUCUUCUCAGAUGCUUUCAAAAUCUGGAAGGAACAUGUCAUGUAUCAUCUACACUCAUCAUGGCACCAGCAUUAUCGAACUCCCCACAGCAAUUUUGUGCUGAAAGUAUGGUUACCGGCUUUCUUUUUCCGAAAAACUCAUAUCCAUCUUCCACAACCUGAUAAACAAAACUCAAGAAAUUUAAUAAGAAAUGGACAAACAUUGAGAGAAUCUGAUAAUAAAAUACAAUUUGCAUCUCAGACCGAGCAAAAAUAUGUGUUCACAAAUACUCAUAUAAAGAAUUUCACUCCAGCAUCAAUUGGAAGACAAUAUCCAAUCAAUUAAAUGAGUAUGUGAUGAAACAGGUGAAACACAAGAAGUCCUCCUAUCGAAUGAAUAUUUUCAAGUGUACAACUACUUAUUGAAAAAUUUAUACCUGCGCCUAGAAUCUCAACACAGCACAUGGCAUACUAGCAUUCGAUACCAAUACACCAGGAUAACAACCCAAUGGACUUACCACAGUGACAAAGUUGAUGAUGAGUAGUGGAAUGAAUAUGAAAAAAAGGGGAAAUCAACCCAGAAAAACAGAUAAAUCAAUGCAAACACACACAGAAUCUCAAAUUAUAACUUACUCCGUGUGCUUUUACAUGUCAAAAUAUGAAAGACUAAAUUUUAAAAAAAGUUAUGUCAAAAUUAUCAUAGUUGUAUAAGAAAAGUGAUUAUUUGAAGAUGCAUCACAUGUGGUCAAAUCUUUAAGUCCCAGAUGUUGUGUAUACAUGAUGCAGGUCCAGCUCAGUCACAAACGAAAAAACAAAAAGAAAGAAAACAACUACAUAGCACCUGAUGAGCACGACAAAUGAGAUCAAGGUCAUGUUUCUGGAGAAAUUUGGCAACCUUGUCAGCCCAAAUGUAUAUGACCACCACAAUCAUUCUCUCCCCAACCUUCAACAUCUUUAUCGGGAUCAGCCCAUAAUAGAUCACAGAAAAGCUCCCGAAACUGUUCACCUUAACGAAAAACCAUAUUUUUCACUAAAAAGUCAAUCCCGAUACUAUUUACUUUACCUUUUAUUUUGUCAUUAUUGAUAAAACUCAAAGUUUUCAAGCAUUUUUCAUUAGUUUUCCUAUUUUUCUAUCCUCUAUAGUUUGAAUAAAUAAAAACCCCACCCAAACUUCACAUUCAUUCAUUCACAAUUCAUUGCAUAAGAAAACCUUUGCAACACAUUGAACAAACGAUUUUCUCAUUCUUCAUUGAGGUUACACGAAAAACCGAACAAGAAGUCCUAACCUGAUCAACGACUUCAUGAUUUUCAAUAACCACAAUCCUAUUGUAAGGGUGCGUUUGUUGCACCGGAAUAUCUCAUAAUAACAACACUUCUACUAUAAUAAAGGUUUCACCACCAUGAGGCGUCCCAAUCAAAUAAUGCAAUGUUAUGUAGUGAGAAACUUGCACAGAGCACCAAAAUGAUGGUAAAGGAAAGCAACACACUCGCAGCUGAAUUACCCUGAAAUGGUAAAAUCAAUUGCAAGCAACAAAAAAUUUAGGUUUUGCCAUGAAACAAAAACUUCUACAAUUCAACACAAUGGAGCCGAAAUUUCAAUUAUACAGAUAGUUUCACUUCUUUUUUUGUUUUUGGGAAAAAAAAGUGGCACUAAUUCUGAUACACUAAUGGCUCUUUUGCUACUGUAGAAGUAAAUUUUCAGCUUCAUACUUCUCUACGGCACAAAAGAAGGCAGAGGUGAAUAAUCAAACCUUGCAGUCGAGAGAAAGCCAAGCAGCACAGGAUGAUCCAGGAGUUCUCAGAAGUUACAAGUAAAGCUUCUGCAAUCAUUCAGCCCUUACCCUGCGAGAGAGAAAAGUAUGCAGUUAAACAUCGUUGGUUAGAGAGAAAACACGGUUGAUAAACUUGGAUAAACUCCAAGGUCACCGAUCGAUGAAUUAACUUACAGAUUUCCCCAUAACAACUAAUUCGCAUUGCCAAUUACUUUAGGCUUCCAUUCAGUACUAUUUGACCUACUGUAAGUAUCCAAGGAUGCCAGGUAAGAUACUUCUUACAUUUGAUUCAUCAAAGCUUCGAAACUAUUGAUUAACUCUCCACGAAACAUUAAAAACUUAGGGAAUGAUAACCACACACCCUUUUUCUUCCCCUACAUACCCCCGUCUAAUUAUGUCCAUUGUUUCUGUUUAAUUAAUUCAAUCCGUAGGCCAGAAACAAAAAGAGGCAUGUAGGAAGAUAAAAAUGGUAUAGCAAUUCCCAAAACUUAUAGCAGUUUUUCCCCUAUUGCUUUUUGGAUGUAAUUCGUAUUUCUAAAUUUCUGUACCUUGUGAGGAGGAGUUCCUGGUCUUAACAUGUUGUUUAUCCCAAGCUUCCCCUUCUUCUCAGAGGCUUUCAAAAUCUGGAAGGAACAUGUCAAUGUAUCAUCUACACUCAUCAUGGCACCAGCAUUAUCAAAUUCCCCACAGUAAUUUGGAGCUGAAAAUAUGGUUACCAGCUUCCUGUUUCCAAAAAACUCAUAUCCAUCUUCCACAACCUGAUAAAUGAAACCCAAGAAAUUCAAUAAGAAACGGACAAACAUUGAGAGACUCUACUAAUAAAAUUCAGUUUGCAUCUCAGACCAGGCAAAAAACAUGUUCACAACUAAUCAUAUAAAGAAUUUCACUCCAGCAUCAAUUGAAAGAGAGUAUCCAAUCAAUUAAAUGAGUACGUGACGGAACAGGUGAAAUACAAGAAGUCCUCCUGUGAAUAAAUUUUU
rnacentral:lncRNA from 1 species